rnacentral:tRNA from 1 species
GCUUCCGUAGCUCAGUUGGUUAGAGCUUCGUACUAAUAAAGAUUAGUGAUGCGGAGGCCGCAGGUUCAAGCCCUGCCGGGAGCA